GAUGAACGCUAGCGGGAGGCUUAACACAUGCAAGUCGAACGAGUUGUAUAUAGUAGCAAUAUUGUAUACGGCAAGUGGCGAACGGGUGAGUAACACGUAGAUAAUCUGCCUUUCAGACGGGGACAACUCAGGGAAACUUGUGCUAAUACCCGAUGAGACUACGAGGGGGGACUUUCGUAGCCAAAGGUGGGGGCAACCUCACGCUGAAAGAUGAGUCUGCGUCCUAUCAGCUAGUUGGUGGGGUAAAAGCCUACCAAGGCGAAGACGGGUAGCCGGCCUGAGAGGGUGAACGGCCACACUGGGACUGAGACACGGCCCAGACUCCUACGGGAGGCAGCAGUGAGGAAUUUUCCGCAAUGGGCGCAAGCCUGACGGAGCGACGCCGCGUGAGGGAUGACGGCCUUCGGGUUGUAAACCUCUUUUAUUAGGGAAAAAGACAUUUGUGCUAAUACCACGGAUGUUUGAUUGUACCUGUUGAAUAAGCCCCGGCUAACUACGUG
rnacentral:rRNA from 1 species